CCCCCCUUGUUUUGCAAUUAGUUUAAAAUCUGACAUUUCUUUAUACAUAAUUUACAAGAAGUGUAAGGGAGGUUAACCCGAACAUACCCAACAUUGUAUGUUGAUUGCAUUUGAAUUACCUCCCUUACACUGCUUUUAAAUUGUCUUAAUUGUCCAUUGACCAGAAAAACCUAGUUUUUUCCUUUUUUUGCCCCUAAUUCCAAAACAUUUUGAGCUAUAACCCCCCAAAGUCGAUACUAACCAUCGCUUCAUGGUAUGGAAACUUGUGGUAUUAUUUCAGAGAGAUUAAUACACUUAAACACAAGUUAUUGUUUAAAAACUACAAAAAUGCUUAUUUUGGGCCCCCUUUUUGGCCCCUUAAUUUCUCAACUAUUGGGACCAUAACCCCCAAAAUU
rnacentral:lncRNA from 1 species